ACUUUUUGAGCACCAAAAGCCUGAUGCCUGUCUUUGUUACUGUCUCUACAGCAAUUCUGAUGCAGUUUAAAAUGCCACAUUGGUAGCAUUUAGAGUCAGGUGUGCCAGAGUCAGAGCAGAGCCACACCAGCUGGACUUCAUCUCAAUAAUCAAGACCUCUACAAAUAUUCAGGCCUGCCAUUUCCAUUCUGCCAGAUUGUAGUUGCUGCUACCAGUUAGUGCUGCUAAGUUUUGAGCCUCUUUGAUUCCUUGCAAAUUGCAAUUUUUGAUUGAGCCUGUUUUCCUGACUCCUGUCUCCUCUUGUCUGCUCUGCCUUCAGCCCGUGUUUCCUGCCCCUUGUCUGGUCAAAUCCUGCUGUUCUGCCUUUAGCCCUGCACCUUAGUCUCCCUGGAUCUCACUCUGGACUUGCUUCCUCAGCCCCUUUCUACCCCUGCCCCAGCCUCAGCUCCUGGCUCUCAGUUACUAGCCCAAAAUUCCCUAGCCUGCAGCUUCACUUUUCCAUGCACCGUAGUAAACCUCUUUUACUCAAUUCCAGUCUCCUCAUUGUGUCUGCAUCUGGGUUCACUUGUUCUGCAGUUCCUCCUAACAUAUGACAUUUGGUACCAAUAUCCAUAAUGGCCAGAGGAUGCAUCCUCUGUUUCUGUGAUCUCUUGACUUUUUUAUCAAGUGCAACCAACAAGUAAAAGUUUUCAUUUAUCCAA